ensembl:lncRNA
CAAACGAGUUGACUUACUGUAGUUGUAGAAUAUAUCUCUUUUUUUCUGAAGUUUUAUUGCGCCUUUGACUUGAAUCUUAUCAUCAGUUGUCGGCUCAGCUUGCUUUAGUGCGGUUGUGUUGGGAAGUUGAGAAGGCUGCGUAAGGAGUUCCAAUAGUUUAAAUAUAUCAUACACAAAUUAAUCAUUAAGUUAUAAUAUUAUUUAUCACCUUAUUUUUAAACAUUUUCUUGAAUUUACAAAUUGAAAUACACAGGUUUAAUUAUCACAAAUAUUCCAUAGGUUUACUACUUUGACAGAUAUACAUCAAAUUUUUGUAUAAGUUCUUGCCCUCAUUUUUUUUAAACAUAUAUAUAGUCCUCUUAGAUUAUACUGACUUUCUCUAAUUUCGAACAGCCUCUGGAUACAAUUUGGAAGUAAAUUAUUAUAUACCUUAUACGUUCCCUGUAAACAAGCCUGCACUGGCCCUUUACGGGCCCACUUAGGGCUGCCAGCGCAAGGACCCUGAGAAUUUGCUCAUUGGCAAAACGUUGGUCCCUUAGCAAUUGGCCCUGCAUGGCCCUAACUUAGCCUCCAGGAAGCCUUAGAGCUGUUUAAUUUAAAAGCAGAGCAGAGUGAGCGUUUUCAGUUAAUUCCUAUGGAAGCUCAACUUCCAUAAAUGAACUGAAAACGCUCGCUCUGUGCCACUCGCUCUGCACCAGUGGAUACACACAGUUAUGUGCACGUCACUGACUGUCCGGGCACCCACUUCCAUGUUUCAGAGUUCCACCUUUUACUUUCCGUCAACAUUAUGUUAUCAAUUAACAUUUAUAAAAUAGAUUUUUGACAUUUGUGGAUCAAUUCAGAAUCGUCUGCUUCUGCAUUGCGAUGCAUUUAAGAAUCUAAUUUUUAUCCCACCCCUACUAAAUAGAAUAUAUAAUGUAAAUGUAAAAAUCUGAAAUAGAAAAAAAAAAUGGUAUAGGUAAAAAUUCCUAUUGUCACAUGUGAUAUUGAUUGUUUUAGGAGACACUUUGACAAGUGGGCACUGGUUGCUGAGUAUUGAAGGCGAGGUUGUGUGUGAGGGCAUUCAGCCCAGUUUCCUGUCCGGCCUUGCCACUCUGAGUACCAGGAGGAAGCAGUGUGUACCUUGGAGUUCAUUCAAAGGUGCUUUGUGGGCAUUAAUCCGGAGAGAGGAUCCAAAGCAAAGGGAAACGUGCCAUCGAAAAAAACAGGACAAAUUAUACAGAAGAAAUAGGGCUGGGUGAUAUAUCGCAUGCGAUUGUCAUGCGAAUUUCGUCAGUAAAGCCGGUUCCCUGAUUAGCG